rnacentral:rRNA from 1 species
AUGAAUAUCGCGCUCCUUUCCCACUGGCUUUGGCGCAUCUCGCAAGGUCAUGGUGGGGUGUGGCUAGACAUCAUCCGAAAUAAAUACCUGCAUGGCCAACCUUUGGCCUUCCGUCAGCGGUUUGGCGGUUCCCAAUUUUGGCAGUCCGUCAUCCAGUUGCUCCCUGUUCUCCAUAUUGGGACCUCCAUUUCGGUCGGAUCGGGCUCAGCGACCCUAUUCUGGUUUGACCAAUGGGCGGGUGACUCGCCCUUCACGGCUCGGUUCCCUGAUCUCUUCUCCAUCGUUGUCAUCCCGACGAUCUCCGUUGAACGGGCCCUUAUUGACUUAGGGCGCCCCGCGUUCCGGAGGCCAUUUGGGCCCCCGGAAGCUGCCGCUUGGCAUGAGCUUCUUGAUUGCAUCGCCCUCCAUGAGUCGGCUGUCGAUGCUGGCCCAAACGAGGUUCAGUGGCGCCUUGAACCAUCGGGCCAAUUCUCCACCAAGUCCCUUUACUCAGCCAUCGCCCCCUCCUCUGCUAUCCCCCUCCUAGCGGUGUGGCCCAUUCGCUUGCCUCUGAAAAUCCAGAUCUUCAUGUGGCAGUGGAUCCGCGGUCAGCUCCCGUCUGGGGUUGAGGCCCACAAGCGCAAUGGUCUGGGCUCCGGCCUUUGCCCGCUCUGUAGUACCCCGAGGACUCGAACCACAUCUUCUUCUCCUGCGUGUCUGCCCAGUUUGUCUGGAGUUGCUUUAGAGAGGCUGUGGGUGGUGACUGGUGCCACAGCAAAUUCCCCGACCUCUUCGACAAACUCCAGAACUCCCCCUCCCACUCGCCACAUUAGGUGGCUUGAGAUUGGGGCUCUCGCGUGGACCCUCUGGAUGAUUCGCAAUAAGCUUGUGAUUCAGCGCACUCCGCUUCGAUGGGCUAUUGACGCUCUCUUCAAACUGUCUGGUUUCUUGCAGCUCUAG